UUGGAUGGUAGUGUAUUGGACUACCAUGGCAGUCACGGGUAACGGAGAAUUAGGGUUCGAUUCCGGAGAAGGAGCCUGAGAAACGGCUACUACAUCCAAGGAUGGCAGCAGGCGCGUAAAUUACCCAAUCCUAAAUCAGGGAGGUAGUGACAAGAUAUAACAACGCGAUUAAAUAUCGCGAUUGUAGUGAGGGUAUUCUAAAAAUAGCGUAUAUUAAAGUUGUUGCAGUUAAAAAGCUCGUAGUUGGAUUUCAAGAAACGCAUCUGGAAACAGUAUGCUUUCUACCAGUCUCAGACUGUUACUGUGAGAAAAUUAGAGUGUUUCAAGCAGGCAAUUGCAGGAAUACAUUACCAUGGAAUAACGAAUGUGUCUACAAUUUGGUUGAUUGUAGGUUACGAUUAAUAGGGACAGUUGGGGGCAUUAGUAUUUAAUUGUCAGAGGUGAAAUUCUUGGAUUAGUUAAAGACUAACGUAUGCGAAAGCAUUUGCCAAGGAUGUUUUCAUUAAUCAAGAACGAAAGAUAGGGGAUCAAAGACGAUCAGAUACCGUC
rnacentral:rRNA from 1 species